UACAUGGGGUGCAAACGUUGCUCGGAAUUAUUGGGCGUAAAGCGCACGUAGGUGGUCUGUUAUGUCGGAUGUGAAAGCCCUCGGCUUAACUGAGGAAGUGCAUCCGAAACUGGCAGGCUUGAGUACGAAAGAGGGUCGCGGAAUUCCCGGUGUAGAGGUGAAAUUCGUAGAUAUCAGGAGGAACACCGAUGGCGAAGGCAGCUCUCUGGCCUGCAACUGACGCUGAGGUGCGAAAGCGUGGGGAGCGAACGGG
rnacentral:rRNA from 1 species